CCCAUGUCAUGCCUCAGUACGGCGAGUGAGCGGCAAAAGCUCAAAUUUGAAAUCUAGCACCUUCGGUGUUUGAGUUGUAAUUUGAAGAUGGUAACCUUGGGUUUGGCUCUUGUCUAUGUUCCUUGGAACAGGACGUCAUAGAGGGUGAGAAUCCCGUCUGAUGAGAUGCCCAUUCCUAUGUAAGGUGCUAUCGAAGAGUCGAGUUGUUUGGGAAUGCAGCUCUAAGUGGGUGGUAAAUUCCAUCUAAAGCUAAAUAUUGGCGAGAGACCGAUAGCGAACAAGUACAGUGAUGGAAAGAUGAAAAGAACUUUGAAAAGAGAGUGAAAAAGUACGUGAAAUUGUUGAAAGGGAAGGGCAUUAGAUCAGACUUGGUGUUUUACGAUUAUCUUCUCUUCUUGAGUUGUGCACUCGUAUUUCACUGGGCCAGCAUCGAUUCGGAUGGCAAGAUAAUGGCAGUUGAAUGUGGCUUCACUUCGGUGGAGUGUUAUAGCUUCUGCUGAUAUUGCCUGUCUGGAUCGAGGGCUGCGUCUUUUGACUAGGAUGCUGGCGUAAUGAUCUAAUGCCGCCCGUCUUGAAACACGGACCA
rnacentral:rRNA from 1 species